CAGAAUACAAAUUAUAGUAUAUUUGUUGUUGAUUGAGCUUUCUCACAUCAACAUCAUCGACUCCUCCGACAUUAUAGCCAACAAUGAAUACUUCACUUUGAUUGAGAUUCUACCACCAUCUACACAAAGCUUGGCACCAGUGACCACCCAAUAUCCAGGCGGGUCUUCUGGACCCCUCACCAUUUCCUUUGUGUCCACAAAGUUCGACAUUUUUGGCGCCUUUGUCAGCGAGGGUGGACCUCCGGGAAAAACUGCAGAAUUCACAUCCACUUUCACUGGCUUUUCUGGCGGUGGAUUCAGACCAGCACUGAACCUUGUGCUGAUCAAC
rnacentral:misc_RNA from 1 species